CCUACGGGAGGCAGCAGUGGGGAAUAUUGCGCAAUGGGGGAAACCCUGAUGCAGCGACGCCGCGUGAGUGAAGACGUAUUUCGGUAUGUAAAGCUCUAUCCGCAGGGAAGAAGCAAGACGGUACCUGACUAAGAAGCCCCGGCUAACUACGUGCCAGCAGCCGCGGUAAUACGUAGGGGGCAAGCGUUAUCCGGAUUUACUGGGUGUAAGGGAGCGUAGACGGCUGUGCAAGUCAGAGGUGAAAGCCCAGGGCUCAACCCUGGGACUGCUUUUGAAACUGGGGAGCUAGAGUGCGGGAGAGGUAAGCGGAAUUCCUGGUGUAGCGGUGAAAUGCGUAGAUAUCAGGAGGAACACCAGUGGCGAAGGCGGCUUACUGGACAGCAACUGACGUUGAGGCUCGAAAGCGUGGGGAGCAAACAGGAUUAGAUACCCGGGUAGUC
rnacentral:rRNA from 1 species